UGGAAGGUUAAGUGGAUGAGUUAGCUUCGGCGAAGCCCAGAAAUGAAGCCCCAGUAAACGGCGGCCGUAACUAUAACGGUCCUAAGGUAGCGAAAUUCCUUGUCGGGUAAGUUCCGACCCGCACGAAAGGCGUAACGAUCUGGGCACUGUCUCAACGAGAGACUCGGUGAAAUUAUAUUACCUGUGAAGAUGCAGGUUACCCGCGACAGGACGGAAAGACCCCAUGGAGCUUUACUGUAGCUUGAUAUUGGGUGUUGACACAGCUUGUACAGGAUAGGUCGGAGCCGUAGAACUCGGAACGCUAGUUUCGAGUGAGGCGCUGGUGGGAUACGACCCUCGCUGUGUGAACACUCUAACCCGCACCACUUAUCGUGGUGGGAGACAGUGUCAGGUAGGCAGUUUGACUGGGGCGGUCGCCUCCUAAAAAGUAACGGAGGCGCCCAAAGGUUCUCUCAG
rnacentral:ncRNA from 1 species